rnacentral:pre_miRNA from 1 species
CUGCGAUUCCAUCCUUCGACUAGCGACUUGUUAUGGCGGGUAAUAGCCGGACGACGGAGUCUCGG